UCCAACAGCAUUAGCCAAAUAGUAUGCCUCUUCCUCGAGCCAAAAGCAGUUUUCAGAAACCCCUAAACUAAAACUUUGCUAACUAACAAUUGUGCUGUCUUAUUCCCCUCACGAAUUUGCAGGAUCUAAACGCCCCAAAGUUGGCCCAUCGUCGAUAAUUGUUUCUAGAGAGCUACUCUCGAUUCAGGGCUAGGAGGCUUUACAGGUGUUAGCGAUUUGCAUUCCGUCAGGUUUCAAUUAGGUCUCGUGGAUUCAAGAAGGUUGGCAGCAUCCAGGUUUCAAAUCUCAGCUCAGUAAUGUUUGAAUCGUAAGUUGAAUGCUAAAAUAGAGUUGGCAUGUAUCUAGUGUUGUAAUUUAGUUUUUGGAGUCUAUUAUGAUGCCUUGGUAUCUUCUAUGCUUAAAAAAAUACAAGUUAAACAUGUUCAAUAAUCUAAGUGUUCGAUGAUAUGAUUAUGUGAUUAAGUUGAGAUGCAUGAUCUUAAAUUAAUGCUAUGCUAUCAGUCAUUGGUUGCUUCCAUGUCAAGUAGAUAAAAUUGAAGUAUGAAAUUGGUAAAGUGAUGUUCAUGUUUGAAGGCUUAUGUUUGAAUGUGUUUAAAGAUGCUUAAAUGGUGUUUAAAACUUGUAUUUAGUGUUUCAUAAUGUUUAGAAAUGAUUUGGUAUUGUUUUAGAUCAAAUUAGGUGUGUUUUAGGGUCAUUUUUUGGAUCCUGACAAACUUCUACCGAUGCAAGUGGUAAGAUGUAUCGGUACAAGUAAAUCAGUAGCAGGGACUACUACAGAUACACGUCUGGCAGAUAGGGAUCCCUCCCCUAUUUUUACUUGUUUUGACUCCUGGAGACUCGAACUUGGUCUCGAUCAUCCCCAAGCACCUAGAACUUAUUUAAAAAUGAUUCUAAAGUGUUUAAAAUGACUUGAAUUUGUUUUUAAUCAAAAUGAAUGUUUUGUAUAAUGUGAUAAAAGCUUGAUAUUUGUAUUUGAUUUGAAAUAGAAGAUGGUUCAAGUUGCUUCAACAA